rnacentral:rRNA from 1 species
UUCUAGUAUAUAUUAACGUUGCUGUAGUUAAAAAGCUCGUAGUUUGGGUUAUAGCGGGGGCGGGUGGCGGCGGAUUAGGUUUUGUCGCGUGCCUUUGCGCCUCGCUGGAAGGAUGGGAUGGAUGUGGAUUAGGUUUCACAUUUGUCAGUUAACCAUAAAUAAAAAUUGAAGAUCAAGUUAUGAACAGAGAGUUUAUAGUGAUAGAAGUAUGGGAUUAUGAAAGAUGGGCGGGGGCGCUGCGGCGUGCUUGUCAAUGGUUAAUGUGGAUAAUGCGUGGAAGUUUAUACUUGAAAGUCAGAGGUGAAAUUCUUGGAUUUUUCAAUGAUAAACAUCAGCGAAGGCAUUCUUCAAGUGUAUACNAAUCA